CCUACGGGAGGCUGCAGUGAGGAAUAUUGGUCAAUGGGCGCGAGCCUGAACCAGCCAAGUCGCGUGAGGGAGGACGGCCCUACGGGUUGUAAACCUCUUUUGCCGGGGAGCAACGGGCGUCACGUGUGGCGCCACUGAGAGUACCCGGAGAAAAAGCAUCGGCUAACUCCGUGCCAGCAGCCGCGGUAAUACGGGGGAUGCGCGCGUUAUCCGGAUUUAUUGGGUUUAAAGGGUGCGUAGGCGGAUCGUUAAGUCAGUGGUCAAAUUGAGGGGCUCAACCCCUUCCCGCCAUUGAAACUGGCGCUCUUGAGUGCACACAGGGAUGCCGGAAUGCAUGGUGUAGCGGUGAAAUGCUUAGAUAUCAUGAAGAACUCCGAUCGCGAAGGCAAGUGUCCGGGGUGCAACUGACGCUGAGGCUCGAAAGUGCGGGUAUCAAACAGGAUUAGAUACCCUGGUAGUC
rnacentral:rRNA from 1 species